CCCUAUAUAUGUGUGUUUCUGGGUGUUUACCUUUGCGGCUAUCAUUCUGAGACCUUGUAUGGAGCAAUAUCUUAUAUUAUAGUUCACCCAGAAGGAAACAUAAUGGUUAACAGGUAGAUAAAUUCAACCUAUGAAGUCUCUCCUCGGCUACAAGGUUGUAUAUGUUUCUGAUAGAAGUUCAGUUUAAGCACAAGUGAUAGGAUUGAACGAUUUGCAUAGCAUGGUGACAUAAAGGAAGUAAAUAAUAGACCCCUCUAGCAUAUAUGUGUAGUUUACGGUUGUUCAUUAAUUGAUUUUUGGUCGGAACCUUGAUGGGCACAUCAGCCAUAGUUCUUGCCUCUUAUUUGGAGAGCAUGAACAAAUUGGAAUUCAUUAGUGAUGGUAGAGAAAAUACUAAGUUUGCUUCCAUUCACAUUAUCAGCGGCUCCAUUCUCUGGAUAGUAAUGUUGGUUUACAUGUUGAUAUCUUUUUACUUUUCCCUUACAUUCUCGAAUUAUUUAGUUUAUUCAAAUGACAGAGCGCACAAGUUCCUUCAGGUAUCUAAAUUUGUAGUAGGACUAUAAACCGAUAAUAGUUACGGAUCAAAUAAAGUGUUGCUUGAAAGAGAAUUGCAUGAGAUGUUCCUGCUCUUGGCUCUAACCCAGUGGUUUGGCUGUGAUCAACAGUAAUCUUUUUGCUUAUUAGACUGGCAAUAUGCAUUAGAUAUAUAGGUUAGUUAACUUCUUAUCUGCCACACUGCAGAAAUAUCUACCUGGGAGGAGGCGCUGAAGUUUAGAGGCAGACGGGGGAUGCUAGAGGAUGAUAAGAAAGAUGAGGAGAAAGCUCAGGUUUAGUUCUUUAAUAAUUUUUGUUCUUUUUUUACAGUUCCCGAGAAUUAUUUGCAGACAAUGUUGUGAUGCUCCAAUAGCUAUGUUUUUAAAGCGGUAAAGCGAAGUGAGGCGCUAGGGGGUGCCUCACUGCUUAAGCGAUAAAGUGUAAAGCGAGGCGACACUUUAGACAGACUCUGAACCUGAUGGGCAGUAUAAUAGAGCACCAUUUAGUGAGACAUAUAUAUAUAUGUUGAUUCUAAUCCACCAGUGAGCACAUAUAUUAUGAUCCAUCCACUAAGCAGCAAGCAACUAGCCAACUGCUAGAGAGGCAGUAGCAGCACCUAACAGCAGAGGAGCUGUGCAUAGCAUAACACACAACAAAGCAGAAAAGGCUGGUGCAGAUCUGAGGAAGCUGCUGCCAGAGGAGAGAGGAAAGAGCUGAAAGCUUGGAUAUUUGCACGCUCUGGUUUUGGUUCUCUCUCUUGCUUUCCCCUCCUGUAACUGUUUCACAGGUGAGCCCAGUUUUCCCGCCCAACCCUUUUUCCCCGCCAGAAAUCUCAGUUCCCCUGCCUGGCAAGUCUAAGGCAUCCUCUCUGCCCUAAAGCGCCAAUCAGGACGCUUAAGCAGGCGCUUUAGACGCUUUAGUGUCAAAGGCGGAUGCCUUAGACACAUGUCUAAAGCGAGUUGGACGCUUUGAGCCUGGAGGGCGCUCUAACACGACGCUUUAGGGACGCUUUACAAACAGAGUCCAAUAGUGUAAUGGUAUUGUUCUUAUAGUGCAAUAUCCUACGAUGACAACUAUAAAUGUCCUACUCUAUUUGUUAGGAUAUUCUAUUCAUGCUAUAUUCAUUGUUAGUUUUGUCUUCAUCCUACUUUUUAUGGAUAUUUCCUUUAUCGCAUCCACUGGACAUGAGUAACCCGUGACAUUUUACAUGUUUUUCUUCUAUAUAGUGGAGGUUUCAUCAAAGCAAACUGGUUCCACGGAGGUUUCAUUAGAGCUAACUUUGUGUUUUAUCAUCUUGGAAACAUUACUAUUUGCUUAGAGGAAAGACCAAGCAACAUCUACUUUUAAUUGGAAUAAUUAUUCUAGAAGACAUAUUCAGUUUACUAUAUCACAUAAUCAUUUUUCCUCUGUUAAGUAAUAAGUAUAAACCACAACUUGUGUAGAAAACACAAAUUUUAAUGAAGGGUACCGAGCAAUUAAGGGUGUCCCAUCAGGCAUUUCUUCACUUAAGAUGGAACAGAAUAACUGUCAUGGUGUUCUGUUUAUAUUUGAACUUUACUAAAGAUAUGUUACAAUUCAUGCCUGGAGUUCAAUAUCUACUACCUGAAAUCCGCUUUGUACCUAUGGUUAUCGAGUACACAUAUAAAGUGUGCUUUAAUGCUAUAUUAAAUUCAUGCCUGUAGCCCAAUAUAUAUUGCCUUAAUUCUGCUUUCUACCCAUGGUUAUUAAGUACAUACACAUGCUUUAUUGUUUAUUAGAUUCUGGACUGUAGGUCUGCUACUUAAUGAUGCACCCCAUGCUGAUAAGAAAAUUUAUUCGGUCUGAUAAGAUAUAUACUGAACAGAUGAAUGGCAGGAUCAGUAAGCUUUCUUCUUGAUUAUGGUUUCUUCUGCAUUCUCAAUGUUGUAUAUAUCUGCCUGGGAAUUUUGUUUUGUUAAUUUUUAUAGUAUCAUUGUUAGAGAGGUUGUCUUGCCGAAUAUAGUUUUAACUUUUGGAUAUUUUUUCAUACAAGAAUUCCAAAUACAGUAAUGGCCCUUGUUGGGAACAAGGCUCUCAUAUAAGGGGAAACUUUAGAAGUAAAGCGACCAUAAAUUAAAUCAUGUGCAACUUGUUUUCUUCCUUGUUGUUUUAUUGCAUUAGAGAUAUUUAGAAUUUUGACUGUCUAAAAAUGCGGAGCAUAUAUUGUGCAGCUUUAGCUCCCCAUUCUGUUUUUCUCCCGAGGGAAAGGUUUAUGUCUAAAUUGGUGCCAUUUGCUGGCUUUAUUUUGCACGAGUUUGUUCUGGAUGUAGUUUUCUAGGCGUAUUGAUCAUCUCCCAUGCUUUGACCGAACGAGUUUUCCCUAUAUGUCUAAUAAUCGUUUUCACACACUUCUGGUUGAUAGAAUUAAGGGAACCAUCUUUGUAUGUCUAUAGUGAUUUCGGGAGGAUCCACAUGUGGAGAAGUUGGCCGCAAGGAUCAAUACUUGCAAUGACCUUAAAAAUACGUAUGAAGUUUUCAAUUUGGUAGUUUAUACCACAUGACUCAUUCACUUGCAGGCCUGAUGUGGUGUGAUCUUGUUGAUUCAUAUGGCAGACUGUUACAGGAUCAGAGGACUUAGCUGAAGGCAGGCUUGAGACUGCUGAAAAAGUGUUGGUGUGAUUCAGUGAUCCCAGUAAUUUUUCUGAUAUCAGUGUUAUUCGAGGCUCUUAAUUUCAAACACAUUCCAGUAAUUAACUAUUGACUAUAGAAGAUUUUAUUAUUGUCUAGGAUGCCUGGUUGGGUAUAACCGAAUAUAGAAUGAGCUUGUGUAUAAGCCGCUGGUGGCAUAGAGGCUUGACAAAUACGAUUGCAUUUAGUUUCUCUUUACUGUAAUUUUGUUGUGUUGCCUUCAAGAAGCUUAAGAGAUGAUCUUUGUAUUUUGUUGCAAAUAUGGCACUUGUGUGUGUACCAUGGCUUCAUUGCAUAUUGACUUUAA
rnacentral:lncRNA from 1 species